AUUGAACGCUGGCGGCAGGCCUAACACAUGCAAGUCGAACGGUAGCACAGAGAGCUUGCUCUCGGGUGACGAAUGGCGGACGGGUGAGUAACGUCUGGGAAACUGCCCGAUGGAGGGGGAUAACUACUGGAAACGGUAGCUAAUACCGCAUAACGUCGCAAGACCAAAGUGGGGGACCUUCGGGCCUCACACAAUCGGAUGUGCCCAGAUGGGAUUAGCUAGUAGGUGGGGUAAUGGCUCACCUAGGCGACGAUCCCUAGCUGGUCUGAGAGGAUGACCAGCCACACUGGAAAUGAGACACGGUCCAGACUCCUACGGGAGGCAGCAGUGGGGAAUAUUGCACAAUGGGCGCAAGCCUGAUGCAGCCAUGCCGCGUGUAUGAAGAAGGCCUUCGGGUUGUAAAGUACUUUCAGCGGGGAGGAAGGCGGUGAAGUUAAUAGCUUCACCGAUUGACGUUACCCGCAGAAGAAGCACCGGCUAACUCCGUGCCAGCAGCCGCGGUAA
rnacentral:rRNA from 1 species